rnacentral:rRNA from 1 species
UAAAACGUAGGAGGCAAGCGUUAUCCGGAGUUACUGGGCGUAAAGCGCAUGUAGGCGGUCAUGCAAGUGGCGUGUGAAAGCGCCCGGCUAAACUGGGCGAGGACACGUCAGACUGCAUGGCUAGAGGGUGUUAGAGGGGCGCAGAAUUCGGGGUGUAGCGGUGAAAUGUGUAGAGAUCCCGAGGAAUACCAGUGGUGAAGACGGCGCCCUGGGACAUUACUGACGCUGAGAUGCGAAAGCGUGGGGAGCGAACGGGAUUAGAGACCCCGGUAGUCCACGCCGUAAACGAUGCGAACUAGGUGCCCACUUCCUUCGGGAAGGGGGUGCCGAAGCUAACGCGCUAAGUUCGCCGCCUGGGGAGUACGGUCGCAAGGCUA